UGAACGUGGCUACUGUGCCAGCUGGUGGAUCGCUCGGCUUGAGAGCUGAAGAAGGACGUGCCAAGCUGCGAUAAGCCUGAGGGAGCCGCACGGAGGCUAAGAACUCAGGAUUUCCGAAUGGGAAUCCCCACCGCAAUUGCUUCGCGCAAUGGGGAACGUCGAGAAUUGAAACAUCUUAGUAUCGACAGGAAAAGAAAACGAAUGUGAUGUCGUUAGUAAUGGCGAAUGAACGCGAUNAUUGCUUCGCGCAAUGGGGAACGUCGAGAAUUGAAACAUCUUAGUAUCGACAGGAAAAGAAAACGAAUGUGAUGUCGUUAGUAAUGGCGAAUGAACGCGAUGAAGUCCAAACCGAAGCCCUUACGGGCAAUGUGGUGUUCGGACUGACGAUCACUCUCUGACCAUCUGCAGGAAGUCUCUUGGAAUAGAGCACGAAACAGGGUGACAGUCCCGUAGUGUAGAUCAGUAGGAGACGAGUCAGCUCCNAAACGAAUGUGAUGUCGUUAGUAAUGGCGAAUGAACGCGAUAAAGUCCAAACCGAAGCCUUCACGGGCAAUGUGGUGUUCGGACUGACGAUCACUCUCUGAGAAUCUACAGGAAGUCUCUUGGAAUAGAGCACGAAACAGGGUGACAGUCCCGUAGUGUAGAUUAGUAGGAGACGAGUCAGCUCCAGAGUAUCGGGGGUUGGAUAUCCCUCGUGAAUAUUGCAGGCAUCGACUGCAAAGACUAAACACUCCUCAAGNGAACGAACGCUGAAAAGUACCCCCAGAAGGGAGGUGCAAUAGGGCGUGAAAUCAGUUGGCGAUAGAGCGACGGGGCAUACAAGGUCCUGUAUACAAUGAACUAGGUGCGAACCUAUAGUAAGCCAUACAGGAAGCCGAUGUUCCGUCGUACGUUUUGAAAAACGAACCAGGGAGUGUGCCUGUUUGACGAGUCUAACUCGAUUAUCGAGGAAGGCGUAGGGAAACCGAUAU
rfam:Natronorubrum tibetense GA33 contig_2, whole genome shotgun sequence.